rnacentral:rRNA from 1 species
UACGAAGGGGGCGAGCGUUGUUCGGAAUUACUGGGCGUAAAGGGCGCGUAGGCGGCCUUCUAAGUCGAACGUGAAAUCCCCGGGCUCAACCCGGGAACUGCGUCCGAUACUGGUGGGCUCGAAUCCGGGAGAGGGAUGCGGAAUUCCAGGUGUAGCGGUGAAAUGCGUAGAUAUCUGGAGGAACACCGGUGGCGAAGGCGGCAUCCUGGACCGGUAUUGACGCUGAGGCGCGAAAGCCAGGGGAGCAAACGGG